rnacentral:rRNA from 1 species
GAUUACCCGCUGAACUUAAGCAUAUCAGUAAGCGGAGGAAAAGAAACUAACAAGGAUUCCCCCAGUAAUGGCGAAUGAACAGGGAAAAGCCCAAGGUUGAAUCCUGAGAGCGCACGCUCAAGGGAAAUGUAACCCACGGACUGGUAGCCGUGUAAGGUAUUAGUAGGCGCGACAAUCGUUCUGAAAAGGACAGCCAGAGAGGGUGAUAGCCCCGUAGUUAGUCGUUUGCUAUUAUUUUGCAUGAGUUAUUGGAUCCACGAGUAGGUAUGCUUGGCAUCGCAUGCUGAAGAUGGGAGUGAUGUCACUUCUAAGGCUAAAUAUCCUUCGAGAGACCGAUAGCAUACAAGUACCGUGAGGGAAAGGUGCAAAGAACUCUGAAAAGAGAGUUAAAAGAGCUUGAGACCCGGUGUGUGGAAGCGUUUGUCAUGCCUUACAACAGAAAGGGCUUCUAAUGGGGCUUCACUUGGCUAUUGUCAGGAAACUGAUGGUGGUUGAUGGGGGUUUACCAAUGGGUAGUCUUGUUGACAGCUGUAGUUGGCCACAUCUUUAGCUGGUCUUUAAUGGAAGAUGGUCAUUCGUGACCUCCCUUUAUUAGAGGCUUAGCACUGUGGAGGAAGAUUGGCACCAACUCAUACUGAUCCCUGAUGAGGGGCGGCGAGCCAAUUUGGCCCGAUGCGUUUUCAUUUGUAGGUAAUCGAUUCUUUGGUUAGGGUUCCUUCCUUCGGGAGGUGGGCUCGCUUUGGAGUUUAUUAUUUGCAAAUUGGAGGCCUUUGAGCAAGGUUCGUCGUUAAAGGUGGCUGGGAAAAGGAAGGUCAAACGUCCCGUCUUGAAACACGGAUCAAGGAGGCUACUCUAUGCGCGAGUCUAAGGGUUCUUUAGAACACCCGUAGGCGUAACGAAGGUGAGAGAUCUACUAAAGUUGGGGCGAAAGCUUCUACUGUCAGUAGAGCCCUGGUCACGAGUGCAACCAGCUACUCAAAAGAUCGGUGGUAGAGCGCAUAUAGUAGGACCCGAAAGGGGGUGAACUAUGCCUGUGAAAGGCGAAGCCAGUGGAAACACUGGUGGAGGCUUGUAGCGGUACUGACGUGCAAAUCGUUCGUCUGACAUGGGUAUAGGGGCGAAAGACUAAUCGAACCCCCUAGUAGCUGGUUCCUUCCGAAGUUUCUCUCAGGAUAGCAUGUGGGGAGGCACAAAUAAAAAAACUAGUACCAUCUUGUAAAGAGAAUGGUUAGCAGACUCGGGGACGCAAUGUCCUCAGCUGAUUCCCAAACUCUGAACGGGUGGAAAGACCUCUGUCAUAGCAGCAGAGGGGUCUUUAAGUGGUCUUGCAAAUUACUUUUAGGCUUAUUCAUAGCCCCUACAUAGUGGGCCAUUGUUGGUAAGCAAAAAUGGCGAUGUGGAAUCAACCAAAAGCCGGGAUAAGGGGCCAAACGGCUCCCUUAUAGGUUCCAAAAAAGGUGUUAGUUCAUAGAGACAGCUGGACUGUGGCCAUGGAAGUCGGCAUCAGCUAAGAAGUGUGUAACAACUUACCAGCCGAAUGAACUAGCCCUGAAAAUGGAUGGCACUCAAUGGAGCGCCCGAUGCCCGGCUACCUAGCGGAGUCUGUGCCUCGACGUCGCUAGGCAAGUAGGAAGGUGUGUUGGUGGCGCUCAAGUCUUCAAUGGGAAACCGUAGAUGGAGCCGCCAAUAGUACAGAUCUUGAUGGUAGUAGCAUUAAAAUCACACGGAUAACUCCAUGGUGUGAUGGCCUAGGUAGAGAAGGGUUCCAUGGCAAUGGAAUUCAACCAUGGGUUAGCCGUCCCUAAGGCAUAAGGGAAACCUUAUAAUUGGCAUCAUAUGCCUAUCUUUCAAGGUGUCAAAGCUGAGAAGGGUAGGGACAGGACAUGUGAUGGAUUGCCGAAAGGGAAGGGGGUUAAUAUUCCUCCGCCAGUUAAUGGGUUACAUAGUGGGUAACCUAACGUCUUUGGUUUAUCUAAUUGCGUCCAAGGAAGAGUUAUCUUUUCUUUUUAACACGUGUGCUUUUAAAGGGUCAGGGGCAACUUUGAUUCUUUAUUGGUGUACCUGUCCUCUGAAUGACGUCAAGUCGAGAAGAGGAUGGGGCCGUGGAAGAGCCGUUACAUUCUCCCCUGUUUCAGGUCUUGUGCUCGCGAUUAGGUCCUUGAAAGGCCAUUGUACGCUGUGCUUUGUAGUAGCAAUAUUGCAGGGCGUGCCUAUUAACUGUUCGUACCAAUUACCGCAUCAGGUCUCUAAGGAGUCAAUCCUCUGGCCUUUGUAACAAUGUAGAUAAGGGAAGUCGGCAAAACCGAUCCGUAACUUCGGGAUAAGGAUUGGCUCUAAAGACUGGUGGCGAUCGACUCGAAAGGUACUGUAGGCAAAGUCGUUGGACCUGGGCAACUGGGUCUGAUAGCCGAGUUUACUUUAUCGGUUGAGGUAGGGGCAACUCUACACGAUCCCACAACGUAGCAGCUCGCUUUAGAACUGUUGCGAUCACGGGGAAUCUAACUGUUUAAUUAAAACAAAGCCCCUGGAAAAGGCGAAAGCCUGUUGACCAGGGGUGAUUCCUGCCCAGUGCUCUGAAUGUCAAAGUGAAGAGAUUCAACCUAGCACGGGUAAACGGCGGGAGUAACUAUGACUCUCUUAAGGUAGCCAAAUGCCUCGUCAUCUAAUUAGUGACGCGCAUGAAUGGAUAAAUGAGAUUCCCACUGUCCCUAACUACCAUACAGCGAAACCACAGCCAAGGGAACGGGCUUGGCAUCAAUAGCGGGGAAAGAAGACCCUGUUGAGCUUGACUCUAGUCUGAUUCGCGUAGUGACCCAGGAGGUGUAGAAUAGGCGGGAGCCGCAAGGCGCCAGUGAAAUACCGCCCCUCUUGGCGUUACCACGCUCACUUUGCAAUUCGGGAUUGAGUUAGUAGUUGGGUAAAACCUCUAUUAGUUCUAAAUAGAUAACUCCUCCUCUUUAAGUAAGUACAUCUGAGGGCUGCUGGUGCUAGCAAUAGUAUUAGUAGUUAUUAAGGUCAAUACUCUUAGAGAAAACCGUCGCCCAAGGACAGUUUCAGUUGGGGAGUUUGGCUGGGGCGGCACAUUUGUUAAAAGAUAACGCAAGUGUCCAAAGCGGGGCUCAGUGGGGACAGAAACCUCACGUAGAGUAAAAGGGCAAAAGCCCCGUUGAACGAGCCUUUCAGUACUAGGCUCGGCCGCGAAAGCGUGGCCUAUCGAUCCUUCACCUACCGUGACAUGGUGGUGGAGGUGUCAGAAAAGUUACCACAGGGAUAACUGGCUUGUGGCUGCCAAGCGCUCAUAGCGACGUAGCUUUUUGAUCCUUCGAUGUCGGCUCUUCUUAUCAUUGCGAAGCAGAAUUCGCAAAGUGUUGGAUUGUUCA